GACUCCAUAGCUAAGUGGUUAUAGCAUGAGAUUGCAGUUAGAAGGUAAUGACUCUUACUUCAUAACCAAUCUCGGGGUCGCGUGUUCGAGUCACGCUGGGGUCU
rnacentral:tRNA from 1 species